UUUAUGGUCAUAUAACCAUGCCUGCUUCGAAAGGAGUCCAUACUUCCACUCCUCCUUAGGGAAAUUGUUGAAAAGUUCCAUCAUUUCAACUUCCCGUUCGUCAGAAAUGUCUCCGAAGUCAGCAGAGAUCUUCUCGUCAGUGGCCCAGUUCGGUAAAGAAGAAACUUCGGGACCUUUGACGUAGAACCACUUCUCGUGCCAUCCCC
rnacentral:lncRNA from 1 species